rnacentral:misc_RNA from 1 species
GUAGGUGAACCUGCGGAAGGAUCAUUACAGAAUUGGUUGGUUGGUGGGAGGGGUGGGUUUGGUUGGUUGGUUGGUUGGUUAUGCCAAUCUCCGAUCUCCAAUCUCGGAUCUCGGAUCUCCCGUCCAUCACAUAUCAUUUGCGCUUGUAUUGUUUGACAGAGUAAAUGGUGAAUAAUAAUAUUAUGACAACUUUUAACAAUGGAUCUCUGGGCUCUU